rnacentral:other from 1 species
AGUUUUUUGGCGCAUAGGACCACUAAGACUUUUAGCUUUGUGGGUUUUUUAGUUUUUGAUUAGUGCAGCCCUCCUGAGACUUUAGUUUAAUAAAGGAGGUAACAAAAUGGUCAAUGGAACAGUAAAGUGGUUCAAUGAUUCAAAGGGCUUCGGCUUCAUAGCAACCGAAGACGGCAGAGAUGUGUUUGUUCAUCACACUUCCAUCCAGGGCAACGGCUUUAAGUCCCUUGCCGAGGGCGAUUCAGUCAGCUUUGAUAUCGAAAAAGGCCCUAAAGGUCCCAAGGCAAUCAAUGUUGUAAAACAAUAAUUGAUUGAACAAAAUCCCCCUGCACACGCAGGGGGAUUUUUC